GAUGAACGCUAGCGGGAGGCCUAACACAUGCAAGCCGAGCGGUAUUGUUUCUUCGGAAAUGAGAGAGCGGCGUACGGGUGCGUAACACGUGUGCAACCUGCCUUUAUCUGGGGGAUAGCCUUUCGAAAGGAAGAUUAAUACUCCAUAAUAUAUUGAACGGCAUCGUUUAAUAUUGAAAGCUCCGGCGGAUAGAGAUGGGCACGCGCAAGAUUAGCUAGUUGGUGAGGUAACGGCUCACCAAGGCGAUGAUCUUUAGGGGGCCUGAGAGGGUGAUCCCCCACACUGGUACUGAGACACGGACCAGACGCCUACGGGAGGCAGCAGUGAGGAAUAUUGGUCAAUGGGUGCAAGCCUGAACCAGCCAUCCCGCGUGAAGGACGACUGCCCUAUGGGUUGUAAACUUCUUUUGUAUAGGGAUAAACCUACCCUCGAGAGGGUAGCUGAAGGUACUAUACGAAUAAGCACCGGCUAACUCCGUG
rnacentral:rRNA from 1 species